GCGCCCUGACGUCAUGCGGCCAUUUGGUUACAUCAUCACGGGCUGCCUACGUCAUUGUGGCAAAGUCGUUUCUCUUCGCCAAUCUACAAGCACUAAUUUUAGUUGGUAUUUCAAGGGAAGAUGGGCGAUUCCGAACAAUCCUCUGUCCCCAGCAAUGAAGGCAGCGAUGCUGAGGCCAGUGAGGACGACCAACAGCCCACCGCCGCGUAUGGUUGGGGCAGGGAGCCCAGAUACUCUGCUGAGGAGCUGCCAUCGCGUGUAACAAAUGUUGAGGAAGAAGAUGCUUCAGCAGCUGCGUCCGACAGAAGACGAGUAGCUUGGCCACCAGAAUCUCGAUUCGUUUGGGACUCCGACUGGUGCGAGCGUGGACAAAAGUGUAUAGCCAUGCCCAGCCCGCGGGAAUGAUUUUGCUGGAAGGAUGCUGCCGUCGCUGUCGACAAGACGGCCCAAGGUUUCUUGCGUAGCGGACCUCGCAGAUUACGAGAUCGUAUCCUUGCAUUAGGCUGUGCCCAUCACUGCUCUUCGAGGUUAUCUCGACAUGCAGAAGCCGCCAAUGCCAGUGACAGAAGAGUCUGACAUUAGAUCUCUACGCUAUGCGGCACACAGGCAGUACACACAAUGUACACGGCAAAUUGGGCAAGCACGUUCGUUGUCGUCUUCCAGCCUGCGUUGUGAAUACCAUCAGGCAAAGAUAUCCAAAUCCUGCACCACCUCAGCCUUCUCAGGAGGCUUCUACCUGGAAUUUGGCAGGGAAACACGCUUCUCCAAGGCAGGAACAUUGAGGUUGCCAUUUGCAACCGCUACCACCUCACACAUGAGCUUGUCAACAUACUCAUAGCUCUUUCUGUCGUAUAAUUUUCUAUUUGGCCACAGUCUUCUUUAUGCUUUGAGAACUGGACUUUAUACCUUCCUAUCGCGGUCUUUUUGGUUGUGCUGUGGCGACGGUUGACAUUGACGUCGUCAAGAGCUGCGAGAUGUGCGUGUCCAAUCAUCCCCAGAAUUGAGAAACGAAUGCGUUUGAGAAUGUAGUUUGGCAGGACACUGUGAUAUACCUGCAUGGCAAAAAGAAUGUGGAGAAAACACACUUGCUUAGACAAUAUACUGCUGUAUGAGAAAAUGGAAACUUCACCGUACAGGACGACUCUUGUUCUCAAUUGCAUUGUUCGUUUCAUUCCCUGUGUUGCCCAUAAGAGACGGGAGCAAAAAUGUUCAGCA